rnacentral:rRNA from 1 species
AUUGAACGCUGGCGGCGGGCCUAACACAUGCAAGUCGAGCGGAGCGGCGGACGGGUGAGUGAUGCCUAGGAAUCUGCCUGGUAGUGGGGGAUAACGUCCGGAAAUGGGCGCUAAUAACGCAUAUUAUCAGUUCAGUUUCGUGCGGAUUAGCUAGCUGGUGGGGUAAUGGCCUACCAAGGCGACGAUCCGUAACUGGUCUGAGAGGAUGAUCAGUCACACUGGAACUGAUACACGGUCCAGACUCCUACGGGAGGCAGCAGUGGGGAAUAUUGGAAAAUGGGCGAAAGCCGGACCAAGCCAUGCCGCGUGUGUGAAGAAGGUCUUCGGAUUGUAAAGUACUUUGAGUUGGGAGGCGUUACCAACAGAGUAAGCACCGGCUAACUACGUGCCAGCCGCCGCGGUAAUUC